AUCGAUUUUUUUUUUUAAACCAUUUUUUCUUCCAUCUUUGGUCUGAGAGAAUCGAUUAAGCCAUCAGCGAUCCACAGAGCAGAAGAAAGAUGCAUGAUGCAUAUGCAUACAUAGCAUUUCCAUACCUGGGCAAACCAA